UGAGUAAUCUGCCCUUAACUCUGGGAUAAGCCUGGGAAACUGGGUCUAAUACCGGAUAUGACUCCUCAUCGCAUGGGUGGGGGGUGGAAAGCUUUAUUGUGGUUUUGGAUGGACUCGCGGCCUAUCAGCUUGUUGGUGAGGUAAUGGCUCACCAAGGCGACGACGGGUAGCCGGCCUGAGAGGGUGACCGGACACACUGGGACUGAGACACGGCCCAGACUCCGUACGGGGAGGCAG
rnacentral:rRNA from 1 species